rnacentral:rRNA from 1 species
UACGAAGGGGGCUAGCGUUGUUCGGAUUUACUGGGCGUAAAGCGCACGUAGGCGGAUCGUUAAGUCGGGGGUGAAAUCCUGGAGCUCAACUCCAGAACUGCCUUCGAUACUGGCGAUCUUGAGUCCGGAAGAGGUGAGUGGAACUCCUAGUGUAGAGGUGGAAUUCGUAGAUAUUAGGAAGAACACCAGUGGCGAAGGCGACUUACUGGACACAUAUUGACGCUGAGGUGCGAAAGCGUGGGGAGCAAACAGG